rnacentral:rRNA from 1 species
ACUAACGCUGGCGGCGCGCCUAACACAUGCAAGUCGAACGGACUCUUCGGAGUCAGUGGCAGACGGGUGAGUAACACGUAGGUAAUGUGCCUCCUUACUGGGGAUACCCACUCGAAAGGGUGGCUAAUACCGAAUGUGACGGCAACGGGGCAUCCCGAGGCCGUUAAACUGGAAACGGGUGAGGAGAUCAGCCUGCGGCCCAUCAGCUAGUUGGUGAGGUAACGGCCCACCAAGGCUACGACGGGUAGCCGGUCUGAGAGGACGACCGGCCACACUGGGACUGAGACACGGCCCAGACUCCUACGGGAGGCAGCAGUGAGGAAUCUUGCGCAAUGGGCGAAAGCCUGACGCAGCGACGCCGCGUGGGGGAUGAAGGCCCUCGGGUCGUAAACCCCUGUCGAUGGGGAUGAGAAUGGACAGUACCCACCGAGGAAGCAUCGGCUAACUACGU